rnacentral:rRNA from 1 species
UGGGGGAUAUUGCACAAUGGGCGAAAGCCUGAUGCAGCGACGCCGCGUGGGGGAUGAAGGCCUUCGGGUUGUAAACUUCUUUUGCUCUGAACAAGGCAUGCCUUUGGGGUGUGUUGAGUGUAGGGGUUGAUUAGCGCCGGCUAACUACGUGCCAGCAGCCGCGGUAAUACGUAGGGCGCGAGCGUUGUCCGGAAUUAUUGGGCGUAAAGGGCUUGUAGGUGGCUGGUUGCGUCUGUCGUGAAAGCUCAUGGCUUAACUGUGGGUUUGCGGUGGGGACGGGCUGGCUUGAGUGCAGUAGGGGAGGCUGGAAUUCCUGGUGUAGCGGUGGAAUGCGCAGAUAUCAGGAGGAAUACCGGUGGCGAAGGCGGGUCUCUGGGCUGUUACUGACGCUGAGGAGCGAAAGCGUGAGGAGCGAACAGG